AAACACCGUGCGGGAGAGUCCCUGGUCCUUCACCGGAGCCGGGGCGCCGAAGGGGCAAACUCCCCGGAACCUCUCAGGCGCAAAGGACUGCACGGAUCAG
rnacentral:ncRNA from 2 species